rnacentral:rRNA from 1 species
AAACCAGCACCUCAAGUGGUCAGGAUGAUUAUUGGGCCUAAAGCAUCCGUAGCCUGCUCUGUAAGUUUUCGGUUAAAUCUGUACGCUCAUCGUACAGGCUGUCGGGAAUACUGCAGAGCUAGGGAGUGGGAGAGGUAGACGGUACUCGGGAGGAAGUGGUAAAAUGCUUUGAUCUCUCGAUGACCACCUGUGGCGAAGGCGGUCUACCAGAACACGUCCGACGGUGAGGGAUGAAAGCUGGGGGAGCAAACCGGAUUAGAAACCCGGGUAGUCC